rnacentral:rRNA from 1 species
UACGUAGGGUGCAAGCGUUGUCCGGAAUUAUUGGGCGUAAAGAGCUCGUAGGCGGUCUGUCGCGUCGGCUGUGAGAACCCGGAGCUCAACUCCGGGCCUGCAGUCGAUACGGGCAGACUGGAGUUCGGCAGGGGAGACUGGAAUUCCUGGUGUAGCGGUGAAAUGCGCAGAUAUCAGGAGGAACACCGGUGGCGAAGGCGGGUCUCUGGGCCGAUACUGACGCUGAGGAGCGAAAGCCAGGGGAGCAAACGGG